rnacentral:misc_RNA from 1 species
UCAUGAAUCCAAAUUCUAGAAUCCUUGCCCUGAAAGCCCAACUCCCGGGAACUACUCAGGAUCACCUACAGAUAUUUAAUAUUGAAAUGAAAGCAAAAAUGAAAUCACACCAGAUGCCUGAGCAGGUUGUCUUUUGGAAGUGGAUAACCACAAAGAUGUUAGGCUUGGUCACACAGACCUCAGUUUACCAUUGGUCAAUUGAAGGUGAUUCUGAACCUGUCAAGAUGUUCGACAGAACAGCUAAUUUGGUGAACAAUCAGAUAAUUAACUACAGAUGCGACCCUUCUGAGAAGUGGUUGGUUCUUAUUGGCAUAGCUCCUGGUUCACCUGAGAGGCAACA